rnacentral:rRNA from 1 species
GACGAACGCUGGCGGCGUGCUCAACACAUGCAAGUCGAACGGAAAGGCCCUGCUUUUGUGGGGUGCUCGAGUGGCGAACGGGUGAGUAACACGUGAGUAACCUGCCCUUGACUUUGGGAUAACUUCAGGAAACUGGGGCUAAUACCGGAUAGGAGCUCCUGCUGCAUGGUGGGGGUUGGAAAGUUUCGGCGGUUGGGGAUGGACUCGCGGCUUAUCAGCUUGUUGGUGGGGUAGUGGCUUACCAAGGCUUUGACGGGUAGCCGGCCUGAGAGGGUGACCGGCCACAUUGGGACUGAGAUACGGCCCAGACUCCUACGGGAGGCAGCAGUGGGGAAUAUUGCACAAUGGGCGGAAGCCUGAUGCAGCAACGCCGCGUGCGGGAUGACGGCCUUCGGGUUGUAAACCGCUUUCGCCUGUGACGAAGCGUGAGUGACAGUAAUGGGUAAAGAAGCACCGGCUAACUACGUG